rnacentral:rRNA from 1 species
UGGGGAAUAUUGGACAAUGGGCGCAAGCCUGAUCCAGCCAUGCCGCGUGAGUGAUGAAGGCCCUAGGGUUGUAAAGCUCUUUCACCGGUGAAGAUAAUGACGGUAACCGGAGAAGAAGCCCCGACUAACUUCGUGCCAGCAGCCGCGGUAAUACGAAGGGGGCUAGCGUUGUUCGGAUUUACUGGGCGUAAAGCGCACGUAGGCGGACUAUUAAGUCAGGGGUGAAAUCCCGGGGCUCAACCCCGGAACUGCCUUUGAUACUGGUAGUCUUGAGUUCGAGAGAGGUGAGUGGAAUUCCGAGUGUAGAGGUGAAAUUCGUAGAUAUUCGGAGGAACACCAGUGGCGAAGGCGGCUCACUGGCUCGAUACUGACGCUGAGGUGCGAAAGCGUGGGGAGCAAACAGG